AUUGAACGCUGGCGGCAGGCCUAACACAUGCAAGUCGAGCGGAGCGGCGGACGGGUGAGUAAUACCUAUGAAUCUGCCUGUGAGUGGUGGAUAACAGCCGCUACCGGGCGCUAAUACCGCAUCCUAUCAGAUGAGCCUGGGUCGGUUUAGCUAGUGGGUGGGGUAAAGGCCUACCAAGGCGACGACCCGUAACUGGUCUGAGAGGAUGAGCAGUCACACUGGAACUGAGAAACGGUCCAGACUCCUACGGGAGGCAGCAGUGGGGAAUAUUGGACAAUGGGCGAAAGCCUGAUCCAGCCAUGCCGCGGGUGUGAAGAAGGUCUUCGGAUUGUAAAGCACUUUAAGUUGGGAGGCGUUACCAACAGAAUAAGCACCGGCUAACUUCGUGCCAGCAGCCGCGGUAAUAC
rnacentral:rRNA from 1 species